rnacentral:rRNA from 1 species
GAUGAACGCUGGCGGCGUGCCUAAUACAUGCAAGUCGAGCGAACGGACGAGAAGCUUGCUUCUCUGAUGUUAGCGGCGGACGGGUGAGUAACACGUGGAUAACCUACCUAUAAGACUGGGAUAACUUCGGGAAACCGGAGCUAAUACCGGAUAAUAUUUUGAACCGCAUGGUUCAAAAGUGAAAGACGGUCUUGCUGUCACUUAUAGAUGGAUCCGCGCUGCAUUAGCUAGUUGGUAAGGUAACGGCUUACCAAGGCAACGAUGCAUAGCCGACCUGAGAGGGGGAUCGGCCACACGGGAACUGAGACAGGGUCCAGACUCCUACGGGAGGCAGCAGUAGGGAAUCUUCCGCAAUGGGCGAAAGCCUGACGGAGCAACGCCGCGUGAGUGAUGAAGGUCUCCGGAUCGUAAAACUCUGUUAUUAGGGAAGAACAUAUGUGUAAGUAACUGUGCACAUCUUGACGGUACCUAAUCAGAAAGCCACGGCUAACUACGUG